rnacentral:rRNA from 1 species
AUUGAACGCUGGCGGCAGGCUUAACACAUGCAAGUCGAGCGGGGGAAGGUAGCUUGCUACCGGACCUAGCGGCGGACGGGUGAGUAAUGCUUAGGAAUCUGCCUAUUAGUGGGGGACAACAUCUCGAAAGGGAUGCUAAUACCGCAUACGUCCCACGGGAGAAAGCAGGGGAUCUUCGGACCUUGCGCUAAUAGAUGAGACUAAGUCGGAUUAGCUAGUUGGUGGGGUAAAGGCCUACCAAGGCGACGAUCUGUAGCGGGUCUGAGAGGAUGAUCCGCCACACUGGGACUGAGACACGGCCCAGACUCCUACGGGAGGCAGCAGUGGGGAAUAUUGGACAAUGGGGGGAACCCUGAUCCAGCCAUGCCGCGUGUGUGAAGAAGGCCUUAUGGUUGUAAAGCACUUUAAGCGAGGAGGAGGCUACUUUAGUUAAUACCUAGAGAUAGUGGACGUUACUCGCAGAAUGAGCACCGGCUAACUCUGUGCCAGCAGCCGCGGUAA